GUCCUUUGUCAACACAAAUAGGAGCAACCAAAACUGAUUACAACCAGUGAACAAAUACACUCUGUAAGUCUCCAUAAUUACAGUGUUUUUCUUCAUACCUGCUCCAUGUGCUCCUGUUUUUUUCACCUCUUAAUAACAGUUUAUCUUCUUUCACUGGCCCAGAGAGUGUGUGGUGUGGUGUGGUGUCAGGUCACAAUGGCUGAAAGCAAAUCUCACAAAAAGAGCGAUGUUGUUACCUGGGAGGACCUGUAUUUUCAAUGCACCAAGCAGGUAAACGGAAAGCAUUUCUUUAAACUCAAGCUCAUCCUGCUUUGAUAUUUGAUGCAUGCAUGUUGGACAAGGUUUUACUUAAAAAUAAAAUAAAAUAAAAAAUUCAGAUGUUUCACUCAAUGUGAAUCUGUCAUUUCAGUGUCAAAGCCCAUAAAAAAGAGAUAAAGCUUACCUUUAUAUAAACACCCCAGAUAAACAGCUGGGACAAAGUUGUGUUGGUAGAAACAGUAACAGCAUUUCAAAAUAUAUUUGACUUUUUAUCAAAAGCAAAUAUUCUACCUCAGUUUAUCUUAGUCCACCUGCAAGCUGACCAAAAAGAACCUGCACUCUGUUAUCUUGCUGUAUGCACAAUACAUGUCAACGACAAUUACCAUGUGCAAGAAAGUCAGUGUUUCCCAAAUCUUUUGACUCAGUCUUGUCACUUCUGCGGGUGUUUUCAAAAACCUCUGUCAUCAAUGAUCUAAAACUCUGUUUGUCAUGGGCAGGGGGUUAAAGUAAAAGAGAAAUAUCAUUUUCAACAAGUGAAUACAGUGAAGGUGUUAAAACAUAUAGCAAAUUCAUGUUAACUCACUGAAUUCAGGCUGCAUGAUUUGUGUUCUCAACUCACACCUAGUCAUGUCUUUGAGUUGACUUAACCCUAAACUAACAUACUGUUAAAGGCAUGGUUGACGAUCUGAGAAGCAGUUGAAAAAAAAACUGAGCCGUUUAGGCAGAUUUGAAAAAAGCGUCCCACCCCUAGACACAAACCUCUACCUUCUAUACUCUACAAUAACUACCCCCCUGGACCUUUAUCGCCCUCCCCACAACACUCCCCCUCUGGCAGAGCAAGCUAUCAUGUUGACAUUGCAGAGACUAAUGAGAGUUAUUUAUGUAACAUGUGCCACGAUAAAAGGCAAAAAUUACCUGUUCAACGUAAACUCUGCUAUUUCAGCAUCUGUUUUCAGGCCCAAAUCCUGGCAGAGCUUUCUCCACCGUUCGAAGAAUGACUUGAUGUUUAUUCAAGUUAGAUUCUUUGCUUGGUCACAUUGCCUCUUUUUCUGUUGGCUUGCAUUUUCUUAGCACUUUUGGCGGUGGGGCAAGCAGAAGAGUUUUUUUCCGUCCUUUUCCAUCACAGCUCCUGUAGCUAAGCUGCUACGCUACAUUUAGCCGCUCAGAGCUCCGAGGAGGACCGGGGCAGUGGGAAGGAACGAGUCGGAAAGACGGGAGAGGGGUGUGUUGAAUACAGCGAGGUGAUUGGAUGGAGAGGCAGAGCAGGAGAUUGACCAAUAGGAGCUGUCUGGGACGGAUGGCUCCCAUUGGUCAAUGUUUUUGCAGCCCUGAACCUGCUAGGGUGAACAGAUCUUUUCCAUCCUUUUUUCUCUUUACUUUGUGGAGAUCGCACUACAGGACCAUGAUCGCCAUAUAAACCAGGUUCAUAAUAAUAACCAAUCUCUCCAAUCGUCAACCAUGCCUUUAAACAGUUGUUCCAAUAACGGUUCCAAUAAUGCAUUUUUAAAACCAUGCCCUAACCAUGCAAAUUAAAAAUGUUUCCUCAGUUUUCUGCUGUUCUUGCCACGUGACCCCUGAGGUAAUCAUGACACAUUAACAACAGCAUCAGUUGCAACAAAUCAAUUUACUGCUGCACAGGAAAAACAACCACAAUAUAUAUUAUUUUCAGCAAAAUAAAGUCUGGCUCUGAGUCAGUAUGAUACUCACAGAUACAUUCAGACGUCAGCUGUGCUUCUGCUUCUUAAAUAUUGAAUGUCCUCACAGUGCUGCAGCCUGUGGCGCUGUCUGUAGCUCUGAAUACUUGUAUUUUGUCUCUACCCCCUUAGAAUUAGUAAAAAGUUUGGUUUUAGUUGUUGUGUUCUUAUGUGUUGUCCUCAUGUCCGUUUUUGGACUGACCUUUUGGUGCACAUGUGCGGCAUUUUGCUAAAGUUCAACCAUCUUGAGGAAUAAUUGGGGUCGGCAGUCUGUGGCGUUUUUGUUUUGGGGUCAGGGGCUAAAAAGUUAGGGAACCCCAACCUACAUGAAGAUGUUUAAAUAUGCAUAACUGUCCCUAUAACUUCUAUUAAUAGCUAAUUUACCUGCUUUUAGACAUUUUGAAAACUAACCUCAGUUUAUUAAUGUAAGUCUGGGAAUUUAUCUCUAUAGAGGUUACUGAUAUAGAAAUACACAAAAAAGAUUUUAUAGAAAUCCCCAGUUUUACACGAACGCAUGUUGGGAAAUGAGAGGUAGGACUGAACUUUUAAAAUAAAUUCCCAUAUUGUUGGGAAAUGUCUUUGCACAGCUGCGUCCUGGGUUGACAUCAGCCCAGUGUGCAAUUUCAAAAUUGAGAGUGAGCACAGUUUUGCAACACUAAAUGGCUUAACUGAGCGUUUUGAAAGUGUUUCUUCACCUCGGAAUAAGAUUAUUUAAACUUUAUAAACAUGUGAGCUGAAAUGUCAAAUAUUAACCAAGUCUUGAAACAGAGUCAAACAGAGCCCUGUCACCCCUCUAAAACACCACACUCCCAGCAUGCAGGCCUGCUCAUGGUACCUAAAGCCUUUAAAAGUAGUAUGAGAGGUCUUCAAGCCUCUCCCCUGGAAUCAUCUCCCAGUCAGGGUCUGGGAGGCAGCAGACACCCUCUCUACCUUUAAGAGUUAGCUCAAAACUUUCCAAUUGGAUAAAGCUUACUGUUAGAGCUUGGAUUACUUCUUAGUAAGGCUGUUUCAAGCUCAGACUGGCACACCGUCUCUCCUCUUUCUGUCUGCAUGUUGUUAAGUUUAAAUCUUCAUGUCCCACUAAACUACUUACCCCAGAUCUUUCCACAAGGUCUCUGAGCUCCCUUGUGUUGUAGGUUCCUCUGGGUCGCUGCUGCAGACAUCCUGCAGCUGUGGACCUGCCUGAGUCCAGCUGCUUCAACUUCAAGUCUUACCAUUAUCACCACUGUUAUAACACUAAAUGUGUAUUUUAGAAUAGAUCAACUCUAAUAGCUAUAACCCAUGUUAAUAUAUCAUUUUUGUCAUGAUUGUAAAUGCUUGUGUCACACCUGUUGACUUCAAAUAUUAUGACUGUUAAGAUCAGUCUGCUUUGCUGUUCCUGUACUUUUUACCAUUAUCACUGACACUCUCACCAAAAGUCUGCAAGAGCUCCUGUUGUUAAUGUGUCUCUAUCCGUCUCAUUAUUUCUUCUGGUUCUGCUCAAGGUUAAACCUCUCUAACUUGCUAAAUGCUGCACAGAGCUCUACUCAAAGUGGGUUGAAAUGGGAUCUUUAUCACAUAAAAAGUCUUGACCUUCUUUUUUGUUGUGUCUUGAGAUAACAUUUGUCAUGAAUUGGGGCUGUAUAAAUGAAGAUGGAUCACCCUGAAGGUGGCUCUGUAGUGGUUAAAUACCAUGGACCCUUGUUUUCAGGAUUGAGUGGCACCAACUCUUUUUCUUUUUCUUGCAGAGCAAUCAGGGUAAAAAGAUAUGAAGAUUUUUCAUCCCUGUUGCUUAAUCAUCGCUCCGGCACAACCUGUUAAUACUUCAACCUCAGUAAAAUUAAGCACAGAUUAAUCAAAGAGAAAAGAUGGCUCACACCACAAAGUGUAACUCGUCAGGAUAGACUUACUCUUACUCUUUUGGCAAUGACCCUGGUUUGAAAACCUUAGUUUCACAAAUAAAACAGCCACAUUUUUACACUGCAAGCAACAUACUUACAUAUUCGGAGCUGGUUAAAAUGCAAGAUGAGCCUGAACUCUCCGCAACCCCAAAACGGGCAACAGAGGGAAGAGCUUUGGUGCUAGUCUUGCCAUUUAUUUUAUUUUUUUUAUUUAAUGGCACAGGGUCAAACCAUAGAUUGUAUAUACUAUGGACACCUUGGUUCCGCCUUCCGCAAGUAUUUGGAUUUAAAGCUGGAAAGCUCUUGGUAAUUCCGCAUUUUUUUUUCUACUCCCAAAACCAACAUUACACAGUAGCAUUGAUGAUGCUCGACUCAAACAGCGUAUCCGGGUGAGCUACGCAAUCUUUGUUUGCCCAUAGGCUGUAUCGAGUGUCAAUCAUAGAAAACAUGAACCCCUAACAACUUUUAAAAACUGAGCUACACAGAAAAAAAUGACUUGAGCACAAACCAGUCCUACAUUAGCUACAUGUCAACAUUGCAAGCAGGGAGAAGAAAAAUGUAUAUUCUGUGUAAUAAAUUUCUAAAUUUUGUCCACAGCUCCAUAAGGAUGGCUGGAGGAGGCGGGAUUUAUGACCUAUACUGCAGCCCAGGGUGUGCUGUUCUCGGAGUGGCUUCACCCAGGGCGGAGGCAGACUGUGUCCAUUCUAUAUACGGUCUACAGUAUAACUGUUUCAAAACUUCAGGAAACAAAACAGAAGGUAGUAAUAGUUUGGUAAUCAUUGUUUGAAAUAUCUUGUCUACCUGUGAUCCUGCAGUAAUGGAAAUGAAAAGGAGCCAUAAUUUUAAUGCAUUUUAAAGGGGAGGACAUUCAAAACAAAACAAAACAAAAAAGACUGUUGUAAACAUGCAGGCUGACCAAUAUGUAAGUUUACAUUUUAUUUGAGAGGAUAUCUUUGCAUAUAAGCUUCUGAAAAAACAUUCAGUGACAGAAGUUUGCAAGGUUGAACUUAAUUACUGACUUGCUUUCAGCACAGCUCACUGUUACUUUCUACUAUAUUCUCAUAUAUUUAAGGUGGAACAUGAAUAAACACUAGGGGAGAGUGGAGUAAGAUGAGCCGUUUUUCAUAUUUCGGAUCACUACAUCAAGGCAAUCAUAAUUUUGUCUCUAACUAGUGUAUCUGCAUAUAUUUCAAGAUGUUGUUCAUCCCUGCAAACCAACAGAAUGAGUGUAAACAUAACUGUCUUGAUGAUAUAGCAUGCCAAAAAAAAGUGGUCUCCUAUGGUCAACUUACCCUGUGUAUGGGGUAAGUUGAGCAGUAUCCCUACAACCCCUCCACCCCAGCUCUCCCUCACCUUCUCUCUCCCUAAACAACAGUCACUUCUUCACAUUCAUGUGUAUUUUUAUUUAUUAUACACUAUUCAACUGGUACAAUAAUCUUUUUAGUAUUAUUGCAUAUAACUGCUAAAAAGCUGUUUUGUAAAAAGUCACAUGAGAAUGUCUUUAAGUGAUUGAGAACAUUCACAGCUGUAUUUUUGAAAAGAAAAAGUAACAUGUUUCAACAAUCUGAACUGAAACUCUGAUCCUCUCAUCAGACUUCUUUACUUUCUCAGUUGAGUCACUGGCUCAACUUACCCCUGAACUACUAUGAUUACUUUAUUAGUCCUCUCAGCUAAAAUGGUGGACUUUUAUAAAAUGAUCUUUUUUGGUCUGAACACAAUUCUAAUAAAACUUGUGACAGAUUAAAUUCA
rnacentral:lncRNA from 1 species